AGUGAACGCUGGCGGUAGGCCUAACACAUGCCAGUCGAACGGCAGCACAGUAAGAGCUUGCUCUUACGGGUGGCGAGUGGCGGACGGGUGAGGAAUACAUCGGACUCUACUUUUUCGUGGGGGAUAACGUAGGGAAUCUUACGCUAAUACCGCAUACGACCUACGGGUGAAAGCAGGGGAUCUUCGCACCUUGCGCGAUUGUAUGAGCCGAUGUCGGAUUAGCUAGUUGGCGGGGUAAAGGCCCACCAAGGCGCCGAUCCGUAGCUGGUCUGAGAGGAGGAUCAGCCACACUGGAGCUGAGACGCGGUCCAGACUCCUACGGGAGGCAGCAGUGGGGAAUAUUGGACAAUAGGCGCAAGCCUGAUCCAGCCAUACCGCGUGGGUGAAGAAGGCCUUCGGGUUGUAAAGCCCUUUUGUUGGGAAAGAAAAGCAGCAGGUUAAUACCCCGCUGUUCUGACGGUACCCAAAGAAUAAGCACCGGCUAACUUCGUG
rnacentral:rRNA from 1 species